CACACCUCUUCCCACAAGGCACAGCUGUUCCCAGGAUUUACUACAUGGUUCAGUCCCCCAAGGACAUAGCCAGGGAGCUGAGUGAGGGGUAUCAAGUGAUCAGGGUGAGGAGGCCAUGUGGCUUGGCCCUGAAAUCAGCAGAGAGGGAGCUCACCAAGUAGCAGCCUCCUGCCCUCCAAGCCUUAGGAGUAUUGAUGUGAGACAGCAAUGAAAAACAAGUACCUGCUACUCAACUGGUGUUUUAAUAUACAGCAGAAGCAGCUUUUCCUUUGCCCAGGAGCCUGGUAGAUCUAAGAAAUGCUGGUGUUGCUGGACGCUGACAAAGGCUAGCACAAGAGGAGCGAGCGUGCGUUUGGGAACAA